rnacentral:rRNA from 1 species
CCUACGGGGAGCAGCAGUGGGGAAUAUUGCACAAUGGGGUAAACCCUGAUGCAGCGACGCCGCGUGAGUGAAGACGUAUUUCGGUGUGUAAAGCUCUAUCAGCCGGGAAGAAAAUGACGGUACCUGUUUACGAAGCCCCGGCUAACUACGUGCCAGCAGCCGCGGUAAUACGUAGGGGGCAAGCGUUAUCCGGAUUUACGGGGUGGAAAGGGGGCGUAGAUGGCAGCACAAGGCUGGCGGGAAAUGCCGGGGCUUAACCCUGGAACUGCUUUGGAAACUGUGCAGCUAGAGUGCAGGAGAGGUAAGUGGAAUGCCUGGUGUAGCGGUGAAAUGCGUAGAUAUUAGGAAGAACACCAGUGGCGAAGGCGGCUUACUGGAGUGUAACUGACGUUGAGGCUCGAAAGCGUGGGGAGCAAACAGGAUUAGAUACCCCAGUAGUC